rnacentral:misc_RNA from 1 species
UCUCCGUUGGUGAACCAGCGGAGGGAUCAUUACCGAGUUUACAACUCCCAAACCCCUGUGAACUUAUACCUUUACUGUUGCUUCGGCGGGUUACUGCCCCGGGGAAACAGGCGGCCGUCAGGUCCCUGCCCACCCGGAAACAGGCGCCCGCCGGGGGACUCAAACUCUUCUGUAUUUUUUUGUUUACUGUAUACUGUCUGAGUAAAAAUUCAUAAUGAAUCAAAACUUUCAACAACGGAUCUCUUGGUUCUG